rnacentral:rRNA from 1 species
UGUAAAGCUCUUUCAGCCGGAAAGAAAUCGUGCAGAUUAAUACUCUGUAUGGAUGACGGUACCGGAAGAAGAAGCACCGGCUAACUACGUGCCAGCAGCCGCGGUAAUACGUAGGGUGCGAGCGUUAAUCGGAAUUACUGGGCGUAAAGCGUGCGCAGGCGGUUUUGUAAGACAGGCGUGAAAUCCCCGGGCUUAACCUGGGAACUGCGUUUGUGACUGCAAGGCUAGAGUAUGGCAGAGGGGGGUAGAAUUCCACGUGUAUCAGUGAAAUGCGUAGAGAUGUGGAGGAAUACCGAUGGCGAAGGCAGCCCCCUGGGUCAAUACUGACGCUCAUGCACGAAAGCGUGGGGAGCAAACAGGAUUAGAUACCCUGGUAGUCCACGCCCUAAACGAUGUCAACUAGGUGUUGGGGGAGGAGACUUCCUUAGUACCGCAGCUAACGCGUGAAGUUGACCGCCUGGGGAGUACGGCCGCAAGGUUG